AUGAACGCUGGCGGCGUGCCUAACACAUGCAAGUCGAACGGAGUAUAUUCGCUGCAGAGAUUUCGGUCGAAGCUUGAGUAUACUUAGUGGCGGACGGGUGAGUAACGCGUGGGCAACCUGCCUCAUACUGGGGGAUAGCAGUUGGAAACGACUGAUAAUACCGCAUAAGCGCACGGUAUCGCAUGAUACAGUGUGAAAAACUCCGGUGGUAUGAGAUGGGCCCGCGUCAGAUUAGCUAGUUGGUAAGGUAACGGCUUACCAAGGCGACGAUCUGUAGCCGGACUGAGAGGUCGGACGGCCACAUUGGGACUGAGACACGGCCCAAACUCCUACGGGAGGCAGCAGUGGGGGAUAUUGCACAAUGGAGGAAACUCUGAUGCAGCGACGCCGCCGUGAGUGAAGAAGUAUUUCGGUAUGUAAAGCUCUAUCAGCAGGGAAGAAAGGCCCGCAAGGGAGAUGACGGUACCUGACUAAGAAGCCCCGGCUAACUACGUGCCAGCAGCGGC
rnacentral:rRNA from 1 species